rnacentral:rRNA from 1 species
GAUGAACGCUGGCGGCGUGCUUAACACAUGCAAGUCGAACGAUGAAGCCCAGCUUGCUGGGUGGAUUAGUGGCGAACGGGUGAGUAACACGUGAGUAACCUGCCCUUGACUCUAGGAUAAGCCCGGGAAACUGGGUCUAAUACUGGAUAGGAACGUCUACCGCAUGGUGGGUGUUGGAAAGAAUUUCGGUCAUGGAUGGACUCGCGGCCUAUCAGCUUGUUGGUGAGGUAAUGGCUCACCAAGGCGACGACGGGUAGCCGGCCUGAGAGGGUGACCGGCCACACUGGGACUGAGACACGGCCCAGACUCCUACGGGAGGCAGCAGUGGGGAAUAUUGCACAAUGGGCGAAAGCCUGAUGCAGCGACGCCGCGUGAGGGAUGACAGCCUUCGGGUUGUAAACCUCUUUCAGUAGGGAAGAAGCGAAAGUGACGGUACCUGCAGAAGAAGCACCGGCUAACUACGUG